CACUGUCUGUACUAAAAGCAGUGCAGGAAAGCAUAUUCUGCCCUGCUUCAUCCCUGGGUGUGAGGUCUGCCUUUGCUGUUUAGGUGAAGACCAGCUUGUUUUGAUAUGUCAACCCAAAUGGAUUACAGCAUGCAUGAGAGGAGGUACCAGACCAUGGAAAAGCUGGAGAAACACCUCAUAUGUCCAGUGUGCCUAGAGAUGCUCAGCAGGCCUAUUGUAAUCUUGCCCUGCCAGCACAACAUGUGCAGGAAAUGUGCAAAUGAUACAUUCCAGACUCAUGCCACUGCCCUGGGGUCUGGGGGAAGGUUCUGCUGCCCUUCAUGUCAACAGGAGGUAGUACUGGACCAUUAUGGAGUAUAUGGAUUGCAGAGGAACUUGCUGGUGGAAAACAUCAUUGAGAUCUAUAAGCAGGAAUGUGCCAGGCCAAGGUCUGUGCCAAAGUCUGACCACCUGACCUGCAAAGAACAUGAGAAAGAGAAGAUAAAUGUCUACUGCAUGUCCUGCGAGGUUCUCACCUGCUGCCUCUGUAAAGUCUUUGGGAAGCAUAGGAAUUGUAAUGUUGUACCUCUCAUUGACAUUUGUAAGCGACUGAAGGCAGACCUAAGGAAUGGUAUUGAAUUGUUGGUAGCAUCGAAUGACAAAAUUCAAGAUGCCAUGUCAAGACUGAAGGAAACUCACAAGCAAAUUGAGGAAAAUUGUGAGAUUCAGAAGCAAGCCCUGUGUGCAAAGUUUGAACACAUGUCAGCCAUCCUGGAGGAAAGGAAGAAGCUUAUGCUCCAAAAAAUCACAUUGGAGGAACAAGAAAAGGCUGAGAAUGUUCUUUGCCAAGUGAAGCAGUACAACAAACUGCUAAAGUCAUCUUCCACACUGAUGGAGACUGUUCUGGAAAGCAUACAGGACUCAGACAUGGCAGCUUCAUUUCAGAAUGCUAAUAUUUUGCUACAGAAAAUUUCAGAAAUGACUCAGAAUUUGAAGAUAGAGGAGCUGGAAUUAAGUCAUGAAAAUAUGGACCAUUACACCGCUGACUUUGACGCUGUGGAGCACGUUCUUAACCAGCUGGAUUUCGUUAACAAAGGAAAGGAAGCCUCAGAAGAAAAAGAGGAAUGUGUAGCUGAAGGUGAUAGUAAUGAUGCAUCAGAGUCUAUGGACUACAGAAUAAAUUUAACAGAAUCAUCAGCCUCAUCAGUGCUACAGACAGACACAGGGACCAACAAAAAUGACACAGCACAGGAUGAACUGCAAGAAAGGAACAGGAGUGAAGCAGAGGUAACAGCAGUACAGCAGUGUGAUCUUGAAAUGGAUGAAGGACAUGGCCCUAUCAAUUUGGAAAUGCAGAACACCCUCACUGAGGUGGAAGAAGAUGACAGAGUAUCCCCAGACUGUCAAAUUGACAGCCCUCAGUUGAAUUUUGACAGCCGUGACCUACAUCAUUUUUCUGGGAAGGUGACAGUUAAAGAAUCUGAAGAAAGUUGUGGUGAACAGUUGCUGGUUGCUUUUCCAGCUUCAACAGAGCUUUGCAGUGCUAUGGAAAAGUCAACCCUAGUCAAUGAAGAGGCAAAGUCACUCAACAAAUUUACUUUUGGGACAACAGAAAUAGAAAAUACGAAGAAGGUGCUUAAAACAGAAGAUCAAGUAACUUCUAUUUUCAGUGAGGCUUUGAUUUUUCUACUGGUCAUAGCAGCAGUGGCAGUGAUCCUAGAAAAAGUGUGGCACCACAUUACCUACAUCUGGACAGACUGGAUUGAGACGCAGUGAAGCAAAAAGAAUAAGGCAACAAGAAAACCAUCAUCAUAUUUGAAUCCAGCUGAAAGGACAUCUUUGGACUGUUAAGCAGAGAGAAAGCCUGUCAGUCAGUGAGAUGCUGCCUUACAUCGGGAUUGUGCAGGUUGAUUGCAUUGGUGGACAAAACUCAAGCUGAAUUCCAUUUGUCUAUGGAAUUAUGCAACUAAUCUUUGGGCUUCCAAGUCAGAGAUUACCACUUCUGCACAGUGAAGCGUACCCGAAGACUUCAAAUCACUUCUCUAGUCUGUACAGUGGCAAAAUUACUGCUGACACUACAUGUAGCCCUAGAUUAUUUAUGGACUCUUAUGCAACUGUAGAAAUUGCUUCAUUAUACAUAACACGCAUUGUAUGUUAAAAUUUAUCAGUAUGAAGAAAAUAGUCUCAGUAGCUUCACUCAGUAAUUUUUGCCAAUUAUUUUUGGAUUUCAGAAUCACAGUUAAGCAAUGUUGGUGCUCACAUGCAUACAAAGUCUUACCUGUUUAUGAUCUAUAUAUAGUUUAAAUUGCAAAGUUUUAUUUUCUGUUUCAGAUCAUAAAGUGGGUAUGCAGAAUACAUAGACAGCUGAAUAUAUGGAUUGAUUUAUAGAUGGAAAUACAUAUUUUUACAAGUGCUCUUUCCUGAAUCAAAGCAAAAUUUUUAUAAACGGCAUAUGAACAGAAUAUAUUAUCGCAUAUUUGAAAUUAUAGCCCAUGGCAUUAAUGCAUCUAAUUUGAGACAGAUUUCUAGAAUUUCUGAAAAAACUACAUUUUUUUAUUUUUUUGGAUAACAUUUUCCCCCAAAUUUUACAUACUGUACUGUAAACUAUAUAGAUUUCAGGUCUGGAAAUUAAGUCUGGGCUUUAAAAAUGCCACACUAAACGAAUGUAAGAGAAACUGAACUGCAUUACCAAUAAUACUGUAAUAAUUUUUGGAAUACCAGACCCAAACAGCAAA